AGUAAUAUAGUUGUUUUCCACUGUAUUGAGGGUAAAUAUUAAAAUGAAUAGUUGUUUUCCAGAAGUAUUUAGACCUUGAAGAAGUUUGUGCAAACAGUGAUUGUUUUCUGUUAUCUAUAGAGUUGUUUGGCUGAAGGAGCUUCACAGCCUUUAUAUGUCUUUGGCCACAAGAUGGAGCAUCUUGGAUUAUUGGGUACUGCCAACAGUACACAAUAAGGACCAAAGUUGUAGGGAUAUGAGGUUUUCCUUCAGGAAACAUAGAUCAGGGGUUUAAUAUGAGGAACUUAGUGUAGCGAUCAAUAAGUAUGCCUUAGUAAAGCUGUUGAGAUUCAGUCCCCAAGAUGCUGGGUCUCCCUGCCGCCAGCAAGGCUGUAAUUCAUCCUUGAGUGGUGCCCUUUUUUCCUUCUUCCUGCACCCCUCAGAAUACCAACAGCUUUGUCAGCUGUCAGGAAUGGAUGUGUUUAAGAUUGUAGUGUCCUAUACCAAUGCUGAAAGUAUACAGUGGUGGGUAAUUAAUGAUGACUGGCAAAGAGCUUGCAGUAACUGUAGCAGAAAUCAACUACAAAUAUCCCAAAAGUAAACAACUUCAAUUUAUAGAAAGAACAGAAUGGAUUUUUCCCUGUACAGUUAAAAGUCAUAUGUUUUGGAGGUUCUUACAUGUUAACAUUGAUGCACAUAAAUUGGGAAUGGCUGGUUAUAAAACAGGAAACAUAAGUAAAGUAAUUGAGGUCCAUAUGCUUCAAUUUGGAAGUCAGAAAUAUAUGCUAUUCUAAUGGCCUUUAUGUAGUACAUAAAGAAACUGUUCAACUUAUUUUUGACAAUUCAUGCAACCACAACAAUUUGGGACAGGAAUUAUCCACUACAUAUCACUCAUACUUGAACUCAUAUUGUAUUGUCUGGGCCAUUAGCAAAAGGAAAUUAAAUUCAUCAACUACUGAUAUGUGUUGGACGUUUCUGAAUUUCAUAAAAAACAUGUUAAUAAUAACGGCUUAAAGAAAAAAUUACCCCAUGACAAGCCAAAAAAUUUACCAAAAAACUGUCCUAUUUGUUCUUUGUGAUCCUCCUGCCUCUGCCUCCUUCAGCCAAUCCUACUGGUGUGUGCCACAACCACCAGCCAUAUUUGUUCUUCGUAUAAUCAUAUUCCUUUGCCAGGCAUUGUGAAUGCCUGUAAUCCCAGUAUUUGGGGAAGUAGAGGCAGGCGAAUCUCUGUGAGUUCCAGGCGGUCAGCAGGCUACACAGAGAAACCCUGUUUCAAAAAACAAAACGAAAAAAAAAACAAAACUUUUUGCAUGUUUAUGUAGAAGUGACCUUCAUUCACAUUGUACUAAGUACAGAGCUGAACCCUCUCUAACUGGCAGGAGAGUUAAAGGUGGAUUUGCAAUCCCAGGGAGAACAGAGAGACAAGAAAGUCCAGGAGCCAUGAGGGAGUCUCCAUGAGGACAGACAAAGAUGGAGUAGGAAUGGCCAGGGAAAGAAUGGUGUACAGGUAACAGGGAAGUGGCCAGACCAGCAUAAAUGGUUAUUUGGGAGCUCGUGUGAGAGUGGGGGGAAAAAACAAAAACAAAACAACCUUUAACAGUUGGCACCCAACGUGGACAUAGAAUCUAAUCUUAAGUCAGAAAUCAAAGCAUAGGGCCUAAAAAAGCUGAGGAAGAUUCUGGACUUGGGAGCCAAUUGAAAAGGCCAGACACAAAAGCCACAGUUUGGGCAGGAAAAAAAAAUGGUUUAUUAGCAACCACAUGCUGCCUGUCGCCGAGCAAAGCAGCAGAAUUUGGCCUGCAUGGCUUGAUGAGAGGCUUGGCUGCCUAAGAGCUCCUGUUGAGCAGUGAGCCUUGGGUGUCACAGUGUUCUGUGAGCUAUAGCUGGGAGCCAGGACAGAUGAUGACUCGCUGUGGCAGAGUGGACUGACCUGUGCCAUGUAGCUGGCUUUGUGGUGGAUCAGACCAGGCCUGUGAACAGCCGGUGCAGCGGCAGGUGGCAAGAACCAUGGAGACAAGCAGUGACACGUGGGCCCAAGAUGACCUUGGGAACUCAUGCCAGUCUAGGGACAGAGUCAGGCACAUGGCUGGACUGAGCUGAGAAGGGGAAGAAGCCAGCAUGGCGGGACCACCCCUUCCUGUGGGUCUAGGCAGGUGGCCUGGCCCUUUGAGAUCUGUCUCACAUAGCCACAGUGACUUAAGGUAAACAGAAGCCAGACCUAUGUACAGUAUGCUUUAAAAUGUGCUUAGAUGCUAAAGAAAGGGGAAAGUGGAUAUAGACAGUCAUAAAAAUACUAGUUUGAAAAUAAUAAUUGAAGUCUUCAAAGAAAGGACAAAUGUCGAUUGUUUUUAAAAGUAUUUUCCAUGUUAAAAAAAAAUGGAAAAUGGUGUGAAGAAGGGUAUUUGGACCCCAUGUGGUUUUGUUUUAACUGAUAGUUACACGCUCAGUGAUGACUGCAACUUUGCAUAUCCUUAAGGAAAACCCAGUGGAGCAGACUUGGAUAAGAAAAGGAUGGAGAGAUGAAUUGCUGGAUUGGAAGCUACCAAACAGAGAUUGGAUGAUUCCUUAAGUCAAAGUAAAAAGUCUUUGAAAAACAACAACAACAAAUCCAGUCUAGAUCCCAUGACAGUAAAAAAGGCAGUUCUGGAUGAGAAAAUUCCACAGGGUUACAGCAGUUGGGUGGCGGCCCAUAGAGGUGCUAGACUUAAGGAGAUUUAGGAAAGAACCAUGUCUCUUGGCAUGCGUUUAACUUACAUAGAGCAGAUGCUUGAUAACUAGGCAAGACAUUGGAAGAAAUUGGUGUCAGCCAUAUUAAAACCUGGCACUCAAAGUACAGUGGCUGGCAUGGUGGACAGUUGAUAGCUAUUCAAGAUUUCAGUGGGUUUUUGCUUUGAGUUCUAAAAGGCUGAUCUUAUAAUUACACAUUUAUUAGCAGUAAUAGCUAUAUUAAAGAUUUUUUGGCAAAUUGAAGUUGAUGAUGCCCUGACAUGUGUAUCCAGUAGAUACAACAACAACUUUUUAGACAUUAUAUCAUAAAAAAAUGUUACAGAUAUACCUUAUAAUUUCACAGGUCAAACAGUUAUGGAAAGAUCUGCCAGAGCCCGCUGGCAAAGCUGAACAGUACCUGAGUGGAGAGUGAAGAUUAAAAUAAAUAACAGAAGGGAUCAGCUUGAGAGGGCUGUCAGUAAAAACUGCAGCUUCGACUUUAUUCCACAAUUCCUUUUUAUAUACCAAAAAAGAAAGUCACAUCAAUACAAAAAAGAAGUUUAUGGAACUGCCAAACUUGUUUUCUUAAACCACUUCCCUGUAGCAGAUAUGGUCCAAGAUCACACAAACAAGUUAAAGGAACUUGGCAAAACCUCCUGCUUAUCUCUGACUCAAGGUGAUGGCCAGGGUGAAAACAUGUUUUUCCCUGAAUAUUUAAUGACAAAGCAGCUUGACAAAACAAGUGGUUCUCCACAAACAUUUAACAGGACUUUAAAGGAAAUGUUCAUGAACAGCAGGGAUCUCCCAGAGAUAGAUUAAAUAAUGCUCUAUUGAAUUUACAGUUUUUAAAAUGUCAGUAAGACAAAUAGAUGCUAAAACUGGAUUUUAGAAAGGAUUGCUGAAUUAAAUCUGCCUACAGAUAAGCUAACUUCACAAUGUAAGUCAGGAAAUAUAUUGUGUUGAAAGAGAGGUUUUUGUUUUAAUGGGUAAAGAAAAGGUGAGGAGCCCUUCAAAAUUAAUAAAGAUCAGAUUUGACCAGGGGAGACCUACUGAAGAUCUAGAGUACCAACAUGAAGAAAGAAAGCAAGAAAAACAACAAAACAGGUCACAUGAAUUGCUGGUCUCUUUACAUGGGAACAGCUCUGAGAAUGGCUGAGACAUGAGAAAAUAUCUCUACGUAGCCAAUAAAUCUUGUUGGCUACAGAGUCCUCAGGACUUAACAUGCCAUCCUUUCACAUGGCAUGGAUAGAGAUAUAUAUUGAAGCUUGGUUAUACAGUCGAAACUAAUUUAUAAAGAAAAACAGAUGCUGGGACUGGAGAGAUGGCUCAGAGGUUAAGAAAACUGGCUGUUCUUCCAUAGGUCCUGAGUUCAAUUCCCAGCAACCACAUGGUGGCUCACAACCAUCUGUGGAAAAAUCUGGUACCCUCUUCUGGUGGGCAGACACACAUGCAGGAGGACUGCUUCAUAAAUAAUAAAUAACUCUUUAAAAAGAAAAGGAAAAGAAAUGCCUUUCACUUGCUUAAAAAGAGCAGAGUCAUCUUUACCUGAAUUGUGCUCGCUGCACAUUCCAUACAUGUGUUAAUGAGGAAAUGUAUAUUACCUUUAAAAGUUGAUGUGUUUACUGAACAGAAGGACCAGAUACCAAAAAAGACAAAUUGCCCAGAUGAUUCAGCCUUAUACCUCCAUAGCUGUUUCCUCAAGAAUCUGCAUCCAAAAGAAUCUUAUAUACAGCUAGCUAGAUCACCAGACAACACAGACUGUUCUAGGCAGGGCUUCAGUGGACAACAAAUAACACAGCUAGCUCUCCUAGGACUUGGCCAUUAUCUGAAUUCUCUUGGGGCCUCCAAAAUGUUGCUCCAAAACAGCAGAAAACAACAUAAAGAGGACAAUGCCUCCAAAAUGUGGGGUGGGUUUAGGGUUGUUUAGGGUUGUUCAGUGGGUGUUUGUCAUUGGUAAGGGGGCGUUGUUGCAAGUUGUCAAUGGUCUUGUCAGGGAGCAGACAAAGGAGAUUAGAUUCAGGGAUUGCUUUCUCUCCUAUUUAAUGUUAUGGGGAGAGGGGAAAGGAAGGGUUGGGGAUAUAGGAAUGACAGGAUAAAAGGGUAGAUGAUUGACUCUACGUUCAAACUGAAGAGCAACUACUAGUCUCAAAUAUUUUUACAUUGGUGCGGAUUAUUGUACAUUUGAUACAAAUUUAAGGUUAUUUUUGUUACAACAUACUGUGUAUAUGUUCACGGAAUGCCUAUGCAACCGCUUCGAAAACGCAAUGUGAAGGUGGGAGCGGUGGCCCACGCCUGUAAUCCCAGCACUUAGGGAGGGAGAGGCAGGCGGAUCUCUGUGAGUUCAAGGCCAACCUGGUCUACAGAGUGAGUUCAGGACAGCCAACAGCUAAGGCUACACAGAGAAACCCUGGCUUGCAAACAACAAUAAAAGUGCAAUGUGAAGCCAGCCAAGGCGGGCUGUGAGUUCAUGGCCAGCCUGGCCUACAAAGUGAGUCCAGGACAGACAGGGCUGCUUCUCAAAGCAAUCCUCCCUUGAGAAGCAAAAUAAUAGUAAUAAUAAAAGAAAAGAAAAACAAAAAAUAAAAGAAGGGGCUGGAGAGAUUUCUCAGUGGUUAAGAGCACUGUCUGUCCUUCCAGAGGUCCUGAUUUCAAUUUCCAGCAACCCCAUGGUGGCUCGCAACCAUGUAUACUGGGAUCUGGCGCCCUCUUCUGGCAUGCAGGUGUACAUGCAGCUAGAGCACUCACAAACAGUAAAUAAACAAAUCUUAAAAAAAAAAAAAGCUCACAAAAGCUUAUCUAUCAAAGACAUUUCUAUAUAGUGUAAAGAUAUUAUUUUGUUCCAAGCUUAUUGUGCCUAAUUAGUAAUGAGUGGACCUCAGUUUGAUGACUGAAACUAUGGCUAUUGGGUAUGUAAAAUUCACUACAGACGUGGACAGUGAGUGCCUCUUCCUAAGUAGUCAGCAACACAGCACAACCCUAGGCACGGCCCUACACCCUGGGAGCCUUUGUCAAAUCACUCUACACAUGGCCUUCCUAGACUCUCGUUACAUCUGAAUGCUAAUAAUGGUUCUGCUUAUGCUAGCAAAGGAUUUAAGAAAUCUUGAUAUUAAUCAUGUUACAAAAAUCCUCUACUGGCUUCUUUCCCGUGGCGGCGCCCCUGGGUGAGGAGCUCUGCCACGGGUCCGCUGCGGCCCCUUCAGGUGCGAGAAGACAGUCACCAGCAAUUGGGGAGCCGGGCUCAUCAAAGCGAACAGACGUCCCCGGGAAUGAUCGAGCAUUUUUGCUCCAAAGGAGACUCAGCCUAAAGUAAAUGCUGAAUAAGAAGAAAGAGCUCGACGUUCUGUUAGCGUCGAGGCAAGGUUGUGCUUAUGUCUUCACAGAAAAAUAUAGUCCCAGACGGCUCCUGACCUGAUGCAUCUGACCAGGACACCAGAGAACACUGGACAAAUCCAAAGUCUGAAAGCAGACAACAGAACCGUCAAAGGGAGACCCCCCAGGAGAAAGAGAAAACUGAUGACUCUGGGAAACAUCCAGACUCUAACUCACCAAGCUGAGACUUUGGGGAAAACAAAGACAAAACAGGACUGAUCCAAAAUUUUAUGCUGUUAAAUUCACUCACUGUAUCUCACGUUAACUCUCAACACGUCAAUGCAGAAUCCAAAUGCCUUUUGUCAGGGGGAUAAAAGACAUACAUAUCAUAGGAGACAGUAUGAGAUUUGUUUUGGCGUACUAAGGAUUUAUGUAUUUAUUUAUUUAGCCUAUUCGAGGAAUAGUUAACUGGAAUGCAAAGAGAAGUCUCUAAAAUGGCCUGUAUGAUUAUUAGCAAAACUACUAAUAUUAUGGCAAAAAUAUCAGCAAGAAUCAACCAAGAAAUUGGUGAACUGAAGUAAAUGGAGCUACUAUAAAUUAUUGCUCUUGUUUGUCAACAACUUCCUGGCAUGUGUUGCUUUAAUGUGUCAGAUUUUCCUCAGGCUAUUGAUGGUCAAAUUAUUGGCUUGGACAAAGAGAUAGAUUAAAAUAUCUCAAGCGACCUUUGGAUGGUCCUUGUGGCUAGGAUCAUUUUCCCUUUUCCUUGGUCUUCUGUUUGCUAUUCUUUUAAUUUUCUUGUGCUUGCCUCUAUUAAUUAAACUAACUAUAGAGGCAAUUCAUUCAACCAUGGCCUCUAUUAUGGCUGCUAUUUUCUUCUUUGAAAAAAAACCUUAGAAAUGGGGAGAUGUAGAGAGCAAAAAGGCCUUGUGUACACAGAAAGGCCUUGACAUACAGCUAACUUCUUCAAUAGAAUGAGGUGUGUAGCUGCUCUUCCUGGAAUGCCAGGAAUGAUGUAGUUUUACAACCUGGUGAUCCUUUGCUGUCUGAUGAGGCAGACUUUGCCCACAUCUUCUUGAAUGUUUGUAUUUGCUUAUCUCAGAUCCUUUCCUCCUAAAUCUUGAGCCUUGCUUUUAGACUUUACAACCCAUUCUUAGGAGCGAUGUUCCUUGUGCUUUAUCACAGCCUAAGUGACUUCUGUGUUAUCUCCAGGCCAGAUCAAUCCUGACAGCCACGGGUAUUAUGUUUACCUUUGUCAAGCUCCUUAGACCCUAACUCUUGGGCACUAUCUCUGAGUCAGCAGUACUCAUUCUUGUGAAAGAAGCCAUGUGUACUUUGCUAAGAACUUAAGGGUAAACAUGCCCUAAGCUUGGUUGUACUCACGGGGCUGAGUUAAUUGUUACCUGAAUACUUUUUUCCCAAAACUGUGCUGUGCUUAAGUAUGGCUAAAGCAAAAUGAUCUGGACCAGACUGUGGAAGGCCUGGUCCAGUGCUGGUUACAAUAAAAUCUGGCUGAGGCAAGCUUUAGUCUAACCUCAA